GUGUUCACUUCAGCAGCACAUAUACUACAAUGGGAAUGACACAGAGAAAAUCAACAUGGCCCCUAGGCAAAGAUGACAUGAAAACGUGUGAAGCAUUCUAUAUCCAU
ensembl:snRNA U6 U6 spliceosomal RNA